UUCGCCCUUUUCCGGUUGAUCCUGCCGGACCUGACUGCUAUCGGAUUGAUACUAAGCCAUGCGAGUCUUUGUAGCAAUACAAGGCAGACGGCUCAGUAACGCGUAGUCAACCUAACCUAUGGAUGGGAAUAACCUCGGGAAACUGAGAAUAAUGCCCAAUAGAACACUAUACCUGGAAUGGUUUGUGUUCCAAAUGAUUUAUUGCCGUAGGAUGGGACUGCGGCCUAUCAGUUUGUUGGUGAGGUAAUGGCCCACCAAGACUAUUACAGGUACGGGCUCUGAGAGGAGUGGCCCGGAGAUGGGUACUGAGACACGGACCCAGGCCCUAUGGGGCGCAGCAGGCGAGAAAACUUUGCAAUGUGCGAAAGCACGACAAGGUUAAUCCGAGUGAUUUGUGCUAAACGAAUCUUUUGUUAGUCCUAGAAACACUAACGAAUAAGGGGUGGGCAAGUUCUGGUGUCAGCCGCCGCGGUAAAACCAGCACCUCAAGUGGUCAGGAUGAUUAUUGGGCCUAAAGCAUCCGUAGCCGGCUCUGUAAGUUUUCGGUUAAAUCUGUACGCUCAACGUACAGGCUGCCGGGAAUACUGCAGAGCUAGG
rnacentral:rRNA from 1 species